rnacentral:rRNA from 1 species
UACGAAGGGGACUAGCGUUGUUCGGAAUCACUGGGCGUAAAGCGCACGUAGGCGGAUGUGUCAGUCAGGGGUGAAAUCCCGGGGCUCAACCUCGGAACUGCCUUUGAUACAGCACGUCUCGAGUCCGGAAGAGGUGGGUGGAAUUCCUAGUGUAGAGGUGAAAUUCGUAGAUAUUAGGAAGAACACCGGUGGCGAAGGCGACCCACUGGUCCGGUACUGACGCUGAGGUGCGAAAGCGUGGGGAGCAAACAGG